rnacentral:lncRNA from 10 species
GGACAAAGUUCACUGUGGCUGUGGGAAAGAGAUUAGAGUGGACGACAGGAAACCAGUAGGAGGCUAUCGCAGUCAUCCAGCUGAGGAAAGAUGACUUGACACGACUUCAGAAGCCUCCUGAAUCCUAUUCUGGCCCAUCGUGGCAUGGUCAGCAGAUGAGAAACAGAUGGACUGGUGUGUGGUGGGAGGAAGCUGUCCUGGUCGAGCUCUGCUUCAGGCCAGUCCUUUCUGAGAUUGGAGAAGUGAGAAGAGGAGCAGAGAGACCAGCUGGGAGCUGCUGUAGUAACCCAGGUGAGGGAGAUGGUGGUCUGGACCAGUGCUUCGCAUGGAGGUGGACAGAAGUGAUAUAACUGAUUUAAGUCAACCAGCUGCUUGAUCCAAAUAAUGCCAAAUGAGUUUAUUGCCAUCUCUUCAUAUUUUACAACCAGAUCACUUCUGCAUAAAACCACAUGGAAGAAUAAGAAGGGAAAAACAAUCAAGCAAUAAACUGUUCAUCUGAAAAUAGUUAAAUUCUCCAACAGUUGAUUUUAAAAUAUUUUCCUAAAAUCUAUUAAGAUUUGUUCAAAGUAAUUCUUC